rnacentral:rRNA from 1 species
UUCCGGUUGAUCCUGCCGGAGGCUACCGCUAUUGGAGUUCGAUUAAGCCAUGCGAGUCGAGAGUCUUAGGGACUCGGCGCACCGCUCAGUAACACGUGGGUAACCUGCCCUAUGCUGGGGAAUAACCUCGGGAAACUGAGAAUAAUGCCCCAUAGCCCACUACGCCUGGAACGGUGAGUGGGUCAAAGCUCCGGCGGCAUAGGAUGGGCCUGCGCCGUAUCAGGUUGUAGGGGGUGUAAAGUACCCUCUAGCCAUCAACGCGUACGGGUGUUGGGAGACAUUGCCCGGAGAUGGAUUCUGAGACACGAAUCCAGACCCUACGGGGUGCAGCAGGCGCGAAAACUUGGCAAUGCGAGCAAUCGUGACCAGGGAACUCCAAGUGCGUAGGGUAAGACCUACGCUUUUCUUGACUCUUCAAAGGUCUUGGAAUAAGGGGUGGGUAAGGACGGUGCCAGCCGCCGCGGUAAUACCGGCGCCUCAAGUGGUAGUCGCUUUUAUUGGGCCUAAAACGUCCGUAGCCGGUCUGGUGCAUUCGUGGGUAAAUCAACCCGCUCAACGGGUUGAAUUCUGCGAGGACGGCCAGACUUGGGACCGGGAGAGGUGUGGGGUACUCUCAGGGUAGGGGUAAAAUCCUGUCAUCCUGAGAGGACCACCUGUUGCGAAGGCUCCACACUAGAACGGAUCCGACGGUCAGGGACGAAGCCUAGGGGCACGAACCGGAUUAGAUACCCGGGUAGUCCUAGGUGUAAACGCUGUGGACUUGAUGUUGGGGACGCUCCGAGCGUUCCCAGUGUCGAAGCGAAGGUGAUAAGUCCACUGCCUGGGGAGUACGGUCGCAAGGCUGAAACUUAAAGGAAUUGGCGGGGGAGCACCGCAACCUGAGGAUUGUGCGGUUUAAUUGGAUUCAACGCCGGG